GUAAAUCGAGCGAGCCCAAAAAUAACCCCAAAAAACAUCAAUUACUGCUACAAAUCGAAGGAGCCCCAAAUUACUGCUUAAAAUCGAAGCCCCAAAAUAUAUCUGUGUCUAUAUAUCUAUAUUGAAAGCAAAAAUAUAUCUAUAUGUAUCUGUAUCUAUAUUUCUAUGAUCUGUGUCUAAUUUUUGCGGGUCUGUGGAUUGUUUUUUAAACGUGGUGGGCAGGGCAGAGCAACAAUGGUGGAAGACUUCUUCUUGCUUAAUAAUAAUAAUAAUAAUAAUAAUAAUAAUAAUAAUAAUAAUAAUAAUAAUAAUAAUAAUAAUAAAAAUCUGAUUGUCGAUAACUCAAUCACCCUCCUCUCCGGCCCUCCCUCUUCGGGGAAGACGUCGUUGCUGUUUCAAUUUGCAUCCAACUCUCUCCAUCAUAAUAAUAACAGAUCAUAUGUUACUUUCAUUUCCAGUCGGUCCAAAUUACACAACAACCCCCCUUUUCUCUCUAAGGGCAUUGACCCAUCAUCUUUAGAUGAGUUUAAUUACAUCCAAAUCAAGUAUGUGGAAGAUGAGGAAGGGAUAAACAAGUUCUUUGCUGCAUUUCACAUGCAUGAGACAUUUCCCAUUUUGGUUAUCAUUGAUGAUUUUGGCAACUUUUUUGAUGAAAGAAAUUGCCAACAGAGGUACCGCAGUCCUCGUGGAAGAGAAUUGGCAAUCGUCCGGACUUUAGCUUUGUGUCGGAAUGCUGUUAAUCAUGCAAAUGAAACAGCGCCUUGUAUGCUUUUGUUCUCUGACACUCACCAUGGUGACACCCCUAAAUUUCUUCACAUUUACAAGAGAUGGGUCGACUCUGUUUACACUAUCAAAGGUGAUGGAAUUGGGUCAUUUAUUCUCAAAAAUAAUAGCGGCUUACCAGGUUCUUGUGGCUUGAAAAUGGCAAAAACAAAGAGCGCCAAGUAUUCCAUUGCACUGCGGGAUUUAGUUUUGGAAGAAAUAUCAGAAAACGAAGAACAAUUAUACCUUAUGUAGAUCCAAGUGACCAAUUGCGUGGAUAAAUCCAUGUAGUCAGAUCAGAUUAAAAACACGGAGGGGUAAUACAGGCAUUUUAUGUCCUUGUUAUAAAUACCCCGAAUUUGUUCCAUUCCAAUUUAAAACCCGUCUUCCUCCAUCAUGCCACUGCCACCGUCAUUCUUCACAAUCUGCCACCGUCUUCUGAAUCUAUACCUUCAUCUUCAACCUGAUUAUCUGUAUGACUGUAUCAAAUUGAAUAAAUAGCGAUAAACCUUUUAACCACAUUCGUAAUAAAAAGCGAGUCCUGCGCCUGCCCCAUCUUCUUCAACUUGUUUAGCAGCUAACACCAUCGCUCCGCCAUUAACCCUGACCGUCACCACCACAAGACACUAUCGAUUCCACCAUUAAAAGCCACUGUCACCGCCACACCGCCACGAAGAAACGCAAUUUCGACACUAUCACAUCAAUCACAUUGGACAAUUUUUCAUGGGACGAAGGAGUAGCACUCUGCAUGCAAAUUCAUAUUCAGAAUCUACCCAACAGAUUUUGUUAUUACAUAAGCUCUGAUGUUGCUCUGCAUGCAGUUCCAUAUCCGCAUCCUGGAAUAAACACAAGAGAAUAUAUCGCACUUUUGAUGGGUCUUGAGUACCUAUUGAACAUUUCCUAUGUGGAUGAUACAGAAGUUUUCAAGGUAUGAUAUAUUGUUAAUGCUUCUCAAAAUGAAAAUGGGAUGCUAUAUCUUCUGUUCAUGGUCAUUAUUAGUACAGUACAUCAUCAAGUUAAUUGAAAGUUUCGUUUGUCAAUAUCAAGGAGCUUUUGAAUUGUAAUUUCAUUGUAAUAUUUAUCGAUCAGAUAACAACAGUAGCUUUGAGUGGUGCAAGGCUGAUCAUAUUUGAUAAGUUUGUAAUGACAAUAUGAAUAGUAUUAGGUUAUGUAAGGUCGUAUUGUUUUGAACUA